rnacentral:rRNA from 1 species
AACGAACGCUGGCGGCAUGCCUAACACAUGCAAGUCGAACGAGACCUUCGGGUCUAGUGGCGCACGGGUGCGUAACGCGUGGGAACCUGCCCUUAGGUUCGGAAUAACUCCCCGAAGGGGGUGCUAAUACCGGAUAAUUUCUUCGGACCAAAGAUUUAUCGCCUUUGGAUGGGCCCGCGUUGGUUUAGCUAGUUGGUAGGGUAAAAGCCUACCAAGGCGACGAUCCAUAGCUGGUCUGAGAGGAUGAUCAGCCACACUGGGACUGAGACACGGCCCAGACUCCUACGGGAGGCAGCAGUGGGGAAUAUUGGACAAUGGGCGAAAGCCUGAUCCAGCAAUGCCGCGUGAGUGAUGAAGGCCUUAGGGUUGUAAAGCUCUUUUACCCGGGAUGAUAAUGACAGUACCGGGAGAAUAAGCUCCGGCUAACUCCGUG